UACGGGGGGGGCAAGCGUUGUUCGGAAUUACUGGGCGUAAAGGGCUCGUAGGCGGCCAACUAAGUCAGACGUGAAAUCCCUCGGCUUAACUGGGGAACUGCGUCUGAUACUGGCGGGCUUGAGGACAGGAGAGGAACGCGGAAUUCCAGGUGUAGCGGUGAAAUGCGUAGAUAUCUGGAGGAACACCAAUGGCGAAGGCAGCUCGCUGGGACGUUACUGACGCUGAGACGCGAAAGCGUGGGGAGCAAACAGG
rnacentral:rRNA from 1 species